rnacentral:tRNA from 1 species
GAGUGUGCUGCGUUGGUGCCUUAGUUUUGCAAAAACUAAUGAGAAUUAAAUUCCACACUCU